GUCUAGGGCCAUACCUCCCUGAACGCACCUGAUCUCGGAAGCUAAGCAGGGUUAGGCCUGGCUAGUACUUGAAUGGGAGAAACUAAACUGUGUAAGACA
ensembl:rRNA 5S_rRNA 5S ribosomal RNA